rnacentral:rRNA from 1 species
GAGGGGUAUAGGAAGCUUGCUUCCUAGAGACCGGCGCACGGGUGCGUAACGCGUAUGCAAUCUACCUUGUACAGAGGAAUAGCCCAGAGAAAUUUGGAUUAAUGCCUCAUAGUAUAUUGAUUCGGCAUCGGAUUAAUAUUAAAGUUUCGGCGGUACAAGAUGAGCAUGCGUCCCAUUAGUUAGUUGGUAAGGUAACGGCUUACCAAGACAAUGAUGGGUAGGGGUCCUGAGAGGGAGAUCCCCCACACUGGUACUGAGACACGGACCAGACUCCUACGGGAGGCAGCAGUGAGGAAUAUUGGGCAAUGGGCGGAAGCCUGACCCAGCCAUGCCGCGUGCAGGAAGACGGUCCUAUGGAUUGUAAACUGCUUUUAUACGGGAAGAAACACCCCCUCGUGAGGGGACUUGACGGUACCGUAAGAAUAAGGAUCGGCUAACUCCGUGCCAGCAGCCGCGGUAAUACGGAGGAUCCAAGCGUUAUCCGGAAUCAUUGGGUUUAAAGGGUCCGUAGGCGGCCUUAUAAGUCAGUGGUGAAAUCUCCUAGCUCAACUAGGAAACUGCCAUUGAUACUGUAGGGCUUGAAUUAUUGUGAAGUAACUAGAAUAUGUAGUGUAGCGGUGAAAUGCUUAGAUAUUACAUGGAAUACCAAUUGCGAAGGCAGGUUACUAACAAUAUAUUGACGCUGAUGGACGAAAGCGUGGGUAGCGAACAGGAUUAGAUACCCUGGUAGUCCACGCCGUAAACGAUGGAUACUAGCUGUUGGGGGCAACUUCAGUGGCUAAGCGAAAGUGAUAAGUAUCCCACCUGGGGAGUACGAACGCAAGUUUG